rnacentral:lncRNA from 1 species
UUAAAGGACAGUCAAACAUUCAAAGAUAUUCCCUGCUGCAUGGAAAAGAAUGACAGCCAAGAACCUUAUCAUCCAGGAGAAGGAAUUUCACCAGAUAUUAUAUUCCAUGUCAGAAGUCUGGAGCAGAGAAAUGGAUGCUGCCUGCAGAUAGGGCAGAGAGAACUUCUUCCCAGGCAGCUGGCAGGAGGACGCUGUGGCUUUGCCAUCUGUUUCUGCAUUGCCUGCUGGAAUUCUUCUCUUACUGGCUGUGCCAUCACCAUCUGAUCAAGACAUGGAAGUGGUUACUGUUAAAGGGGUUGUCAUGAAAAACUCUCCUGCCUGAAGAGUUAUCAGAAGAUGUAGCAAUGACUAUUCUUCAGCUGCUAGUUCUGACUGUUUUUUCCCACACCUUUUUAAGAUCCUUUGUUGUCUUGCUGAUCUAUGAACAAUUGCGUAUAACUGCAGAUCCACAAGUUCAGACAAACUGUUGCACAACACUUAGGUAGACCAUGGAAACAUAAGAUAAUCUCUUAUUUUUUAAGCCUUAUAUCAGCUUCCUGAGGUAUACACAGGAGCUAGUUACUUCAUAUACUAGCAAGGCAAAUGUACACUCCUCUCACUUCCCAGCAAUAAGUUUUCACGGAACCAUAGACACUGUCAUAUUUUUCUAUGGGCCACAGAUGGUAAGAUCUUGGGCAGCUAAAGGGGGAAAAAAAAAAUAGAUGUAAAGUUCCUUUCCUCCUCUUCUACAAUUUAGAUUGACUUACCUGCCAGCAGGCCAUUGGGUGAUGCUGAGUAUGCAUAAUUUGUUCUUUCAGAAGAAUAAAGCAUCAACAGUCAUCUUUGGGCGCA